GAUGAACGCUGGCGGCGUGCCUAAUACAUGCAAGUCGAGCGAACAGACGAGGAGCUUGCUCCUUUGACGUUAGCGGCGGACGGGUGAGUAACACGUAGGUAACCUACCUAUAAGACUGGGAUAACUUCGGGAAACCGGAGCUAAUACCGGAUAAUAUUUCGAACCGCAUGGUUCGAUAGUUAAAGAUGGCUUUGCUAUCACUUAUAGAUGGACCUGCGCCGUAUUAGCUAGUUGGUAAGGUAACGGCUUACCAAGGCAACGAUACGUAGCCGACCUGAGAGGGUGAUCGGCCACACUGGAACUGAGACACGGUCCAGACUCCUACGGGAGGCAGCAGUAGGGAAUCUUCCGCAAUGGGCGAAAGCCUGACGGAGCAACGCCGCGUGAGUGAUGAAGGUCUUCGGAUCGUAAAACUCUGUUAUUAGGGAAGAACAAACGUGUAAGUAACUGUGCACGUCUUGACGGUACCUAAUCAGAAAGCCACGGCUAACUACGUG
rnacentral:rRNA from 1 species